UGGUCCAUGUCUGCUUGUUCUUCUGUACGGCCAUAUGACAAGUCAUUUGCGAACAUUUCGGGAACCUUUGGUUGUCUUUUUGUUCCAAACAUCGCAUCCAGUAUUGCUGGUUUCUUUUUAAAAGAGCUAGCUCAUUAGCUAUCUGUGAGUGGGGCUUGUUGAAAGCAUCUACUCGAGUGUAUCGAGAAACGUACCAGUCAUCUCAACAUUCAUAGAACAUGCUCAAGAAUAAUGUUUUAUACCAUAACCAUAUAUAUAUAUAAUCAAAAUUAUUAAUCACAACAUUCUUAAUCCACAAUUACACGCAGAAAAUUGUACUGACAUCUAACGACUACCAGUAACCCAUCAUGACUCAUGAGUGACAUCUCGUUUCUUGAAUAGGAAAGAAAAAUACUAAUAUUGAAAAUUAUCAACAAAAACUUAGAUCUAACAAAAAAAAGAAAAACCGCAAAGUCAAACAAUAACUCAAAAGC